rnacentral:rRNA from 1 species
UACGUAGGGUGCAAGCGUUAAUCGGAAUUACUGGGCGUAAAGCGUGCGCAGGCGGUUAUGUAAGACAGUUGUGAAAUCCCCGGGCUCAACCUGGGAACUGCAUCUGUGACUGCAUAGCUAGAGUACGGUAGAGGGGGAUGGAAUUCCGCGUGUAGCAGUGAAAUGCGUAGAUAUGCGGGGGGAACACCGAUGGCGAAGGCAAUCCCCUGGACCUGUACUGACGCUCAUGCACGAAAGCGUGGGGAGCAAACAGG